GACGAACGCUGGCGGCGUGCUUAACACAUGCAAGUCGCACGAAGUGGCGAACGGGUGAGUAACACGUAAUCCACCUGCCCUUCAGAGGGGGACAACAGUUGGAAACGACUGAUACUACCACAUACAGAAGGGAGGGACUGCGUCGGAUUAGCUAGUUGGAGGGGUACCGGCCCACCAAGGAGAUGAUCAGUAACCGGUCUGAGAGGAUGAACGGCCAAAUUGGGACUGAGAGACGGCCCAGGCUCCUACGGGAGGCAGCAGUGGGGAAUCUUCCGAAAUGGACGAAAGUCUGACGGAGCAACGCUGCUUGAGUGAUGACGGCCUUCGGGUUGUAAAGCUCUGUUAAUCGGGACGCGGUACCGGAAUAGAAAGCCACGGCUAACUACGUGCCAGCAGCCGCGGUAAUAC
rnacentral:rRNA from 1 species